UGACUACAAUAAGAUAUAAGGGGUGAAGAUCUGACCGGAGGGCCCCUCAAUACUUCUGUUAAGGAGCUGAACACUUUGCAGCAUGUGACCUAUGAUGACUUAUUUCUAGACCUAAUAUAUUUGAUCAGGGCCUCAGACUUUAGAAAGGCCCAAUUCAGAAAUUUAAACAUAAAUCAUCAGAAUGGAAAAUAGCUGCAUUUACACAUGAGAAAGCUGUAAAGCAAGGCUGUUCAACAUAUGGAUGUUUGGGAACCAGUUUGGAAUCACAGCAGUACAAGAGAGCAGGAGAUGGGGAACAGAGGCACAGAGAGAUUAAGUGGUCUGUGAUGGAGAAGAGAUUUGAACAUGGUCUACAAAGGUCUCUAUAUCAUGGAAGAAAUGGAUUUUCAGAAGGAGUCAAUAUCAUGCUACUGUCAUCAUCACGUAUUAUGAAAAACACCACUGCCAAUCAACCUCUACUUUAGAAUAAGUAGGUGUAUAGAAAUUCCAGUAUGGAACCUGCAUUCUUAAUUAAAGGGGUCAUUUCCCAUUUUUAUAGACUUUUUGGCAUUUAAAUAUAUGGUGAAAAAGUCUUUUU